rnacentral:snRNA from 1 species
GUGCUCGCUUCGGCAGCACAUAUACUAAAACUGGAACAAUACAGAGAAGAUUAGCAUGGCCCCUGAGCAAGGAUGACAUGUAAAUUAGUGAGGUGUUCCAUAUUUUU